GACGUAGGGAGCGAGCGUUGUCCGGAUUCAUUGGGCGUAAAGAGCGCGCAGGCGGCUUGGCAAGUCGGGUGUGAAAUCCCGGGGCUCAACCCCGUGACUGCAUCCGAUACUGUCAGGCUAGAGGUAGGUAGGGGAGAUCGGAAUUCCUGGUGUAGCGGUGAAAUGCGCAGAUAUCAGGAGGAACACCGGUGGCGAAGGCGGAUCUCUGGGCCUUACCUGACGCUCAGGCGCGAAAGCUAGGGGAGCGAACAGG
rnacentral:rRNA from 1 species